rnacentral:siRNA from 1 species
CUAAUGCCAGAGAGUAGUCAGGCC